CAUGAUCUCAUAACAAACAGUAUGUGAAUAAAUUGUUUAAAUCACAUUUCUAAGCCUUUGUUAUGAGUGUAAUACACCAGUCCAGUAGAAACUUUACAACUACUAUCACAGUGUGUGUAACCCAGAAUAAAAGGGUUGAAAGAAUCAAGUGUGGCUAAUGCUAUGAAACUAACUACUCAUCAAUGGAUAGUGUAAAAAAAUAAGUGAGAGCUGACUCUCCAUGCCGAUACGGGAAGACUGAUAAAAAAUCUCUUGGACCUGAAAACAGUAGAGCAGAGCAGUAGAGAUGUUAUAAAAACAUCCAACCUUUGGUUACAAUUCAUCUUCGAACAUGUUUACCCCCUACGAACGUGUCAUCUAACCUUUCGUUAAAAAUGUCACAUUUCAAGAUGUUAAACAAAGGACAUAUGCAGCUUCCCACAAACAACUUCUUUUAUAUGCAUAAUCUAGAAGAAAAAGCAAUAUCUUUGUUAAUUUAUAAUUCGUUUCAGUGUAAUUCUAACUAAUGACUUUAUACUUUCACUUACAAGAUAAACAAAUAAAUCUCACCAAAUAUGCACAUGUAAAAUAAAUUCCAUGAAGAAGAUUGUACCUCAAGAUAAAAUGACAAACCCUAAAUACACCGAUGCAGAAAGAAAUAUAAACGAUACCAAUCCCUUGCAUAUAAAGAUUAUUAUGUUACGAAAAAUGUCAAGUUUUAAUCAUCAGUACAAUUACGUUUUUUACCAUUACAUCUAAAAAUCCAAUGUCCAUUUUAACUAAAAUUGUUGACUUAUAUUCAAAAGGUUGUUGACCUGUUUGGGAACAUUAUUCAUUUACGAAAAAUCGGAACUUUAUAGGGCUGGUUUGAAAGUUUAUUCUUUAAAUAACUGAAAUUGUUUUAUGAGAAAAUGUUUUUUGUUCCAAAAGUACUUGAACUGUUUUAUUUAAAAAACACCAGUUAUGUGCUUCUUGUAAAAAGCAUUUAAGUUUUUUUUUUCAAGAUUCACUUAUAUUUUUACUACAGAUUGGUUCCAAAAACGCUUUUGAUCAAUCUGUGAGUUGCAAAAUUAGUAGAAAUCAAUUUUAACAUCGUCAAUAGCAGGAAUCAAAGGAGAGGAAUCCGCCCUUAAGCAACCAAUUGCCUGGACCAACUUGAUACAACUUGGUCCUCUCGCUCCUAAGACCAUCUUCAAAGGAGAUGUCAAAGUUUGAACAUAAAAUUUAAAUUUUGACAGCUUAUGUGGCACUUUGACAAUUUUUAAAGUUUUGUUCUUCAACCGAUAUGUUAAAUUAAAUUAUUAUUUUAUAAAAUAAAUUAUUAAACUAAUUAAAAUUUAAUAAAGGACAUUUAAAGUUUAAUCAGUAAUCUGUUCACCUUUUUUUAUUGAAAAGAAGAAAAAAGUAAGAUAAUUGCAUCGGUCAACUCAACAUUAAUUAUAAUAAAUGAUUAAACUAAUUAAAAAUUAAUAAAAUAGAUUUAAUAAUUAAUAAAAAAACAUUUGAAGCUGCUGUCAAAUUUGACAACAACCUCUUUUGCUGCCAAUCCAUGUCAUCGCCACACAGGAUUUGAUACUUUGGCUGGAGAAUAUUAGUGUGGUCUUUUUUUUUACUAUUAUAACUGAUGUGUACAUUUUGGCAUCUUCUUUAG
rnacentral:lncRNA from 1 species